rnacentral:rRNA from 1 species
GACGAACGCUAGCGGGAUGCCUUACACAUGCAAGUCGAACGGAGUGGCGAACGGGUGAGUAAUGAAUCUGAACGUGCCCAGUAGCGGGGGAUAACUACGCGAAAGCGUAGCUAAUACCGCCUACUAUUGGAGCGGCCUAUACCGGAUUAGCUAGUUGGUGGGGUAACGGCUCACCCAGGCGACGAUCCGUAGCUGGUUUGAGAGGACGACCAGCCACACUGGAACUGAGACACGGCCCAGACUCCUACGGGAGGCAGCAGUGGGGAAUAUUGGACAAUGGGGGAAACCCUGAUGCAGCCAUGCCGCGUGUGCGAUGAAGGCCUUCGGGUUGUAAAGCACUUUUGGCAGGAAAGCGGUACCUGCAGAAUAAGCACCGGCUAACUACGUGCCAGCAGCCGCGGUAAUAC